rnacentral:rRNA from 1 species
UACGUAGGGUGCGAGCGUUAAUCGGAAUUACUGGGCGUAAAGCGUGCGCAGGCGGUUUUGUAAGUCAGAUGUGAAAUCCCCGGGCUUAACCUGGGAAUGGCAUUUGGGACUGCAAGGCUGGAGUACGGCAGAGGGAGGUGGAAUUCCAGGUGUAGCAGUGAAAUGCGUAGAGAUCUGGAGGAACACCGAUGGCGAAGGCAGCCUCCUGGGCUAGUACUGACGCUCAUGCACGAAAGCGUGGGGAGCAAACAGG